rnacentral:misc_RNA from 1 species
CCGAGUUUUCAACUCCCAAACCCCUGUGAACAUACCUAAACGUUGCCUCGGCGGGAGAGCCCCGGGCGCUGGCGAAAGCCUCGCACCGGUACCAGGCGCCCGCCGGAGGACCCAAACCAAACUCUUGUAUUUCUAAAGAAUCUUCUGAGUAAACCACAAGAAAUAAGUUA